GGUAACCACCGAGAUGACUGGGAUGGCCACAUGCAUCACGCUCCAGGCAGACGGCAACGCCAUGACUCCCAGCAGUAAUUCAAGCUAUCUUCCCUGCCUGUAAUGAAGAGAAAUAAUGAAACUCAGCAGUUUGCUCCCCACAAAGAAGAGGAUGAGACAUGGAGGUUUCAAAUGAGAUGAAAUCUCAGAAGUUUGCUCGGAAAAAUGAAGAUGUAGGGCCUGCUGAUGGCGCCCUGCACGCUGGGGAAGACUCCAUUAGCAGCUUCAUUUAACUGCGCUGAAAACGAAGCCGGGUGGAAAACAGCAACAUUGGCACAUGAACCAGCCAGGAAUAUGGAUCCUGCGCAGCUUCACACUAGGUCCCAGAUGCCUGUUAAAGGAGCAGCUCCUUAAGGACUAGGAUAUCAUGGAACAAUAUUGUACAGUUUGACUCAUCUAGGUCUGGUCACAUAGUCUAGCCCCAAUCUUCAGCUUUAAAUAACACCAAAUGGAAAUUCUGGCACAAAAUCCAAGCCUUACAUUUCCAUUCACCCUGGCAUAUGUGUUCCUUGCACAUACCCUCAUUACGGUCCCGCCAUGCUUUUCAUACAGGAGCUUCAAGAAAAGGAUGGAAAGGAAUUGCCUACAGAUGUAAUAACCUUUGAUGAGGUGAAAAGCGUUGUUUGUUCUAAUAUUUUUUCAAGGUAUCAAUAUAUUCUCUUUUUAAAUUGUAACUUUUUGGUAAAAUAUAUUUCAGAAUUGCUUGGUCUUUUCAGUAGGUAGCUAGAACAGCAGUACAAUCCACGGUGAGGGAAGGAAAGGAAUCUGACACCUCAAGGAGGAAGCAGAGGUGUUACCCAUCUGAAACAACUGCAGAAAGUAUAAAAGGGGAUCAGAGCAGAGAGCUUGGGAAAAUGUGAAAAAAAGAGAAGAUGAAGUUCCUGAAAUAUGUCAUUCCCAGCAUGCCAAGGCUCCAAGGAUGCCUACGUAUGAUAUCUUGUUAUUAGGGUCUGUAUAUCACAGCAAAGUUUUGCAUGGUUGUAUAUACAUCCAAUAAAGGUUGUCUGUGCGA